rnacentral:lncRNA from 1 species
AGAUGUUUCAACCUGAUUUUGACCUCAUCAGCGAAGUAUUGUCUUUAUCGUACAUGCCGAAGUAGAGAGAAGAAAACUAAGAGGUAAGCGUGCAAUAAUUUGAUUGAUAAUUACAUUUGUUUAAAAAUCCUCAUUAUUUGUAACCAUUCAGAAUAACUAGCAGACCCGGUUUCCCUGGGGGUGGGGGCUGGAAAAUACCACCAGUAUUCCGUGGUAUUCAGUCUGGGUUCUGAAUUUACCAAGAAUAUUAUUCUUUUAAAUUCUUUUAUUAUUCUUUUAUUCUUUUACGUGUUUCGGUCAUUUGACUGCGUCCAUGCUGAAGCACCGCCUUUAGUCGAGCAAAUCGACCCCAGGACUUAUUCUUUGUAAGCCUAGCAUUUAUUCUAUCGGUCUCCUUUGCCGAACCGCUAAGUUACGGGGAUGUUAACACACCAGGAUCGGUUGUCAAGCAAUAUUAGGGGAACAAACACAAACACGCAAACAUAUACACAUACACACAUACACACACACACAUACACACACACACACACACACACACACACACACACACACACACACACACACACACACACACACACACACACACACAUAUAUAUAUAUAUAUAUAUACGACGGGCUUCUUUCAGUUUCUGUCUACCAAAUCCACUCAUAAGGCUUUGGUCGGCCCGAGGCUAUAGUAGAAGACACUUGCUCAAAAUGCCACGCAGUGGGACUGAACCCUGAACCAUGUCGUUGAUAAGCAAGCUACUUACCACACAGCCAAAGAUUCCUUUAUAUAAAUGGGUACUUUUGGUACUGAGAAAGUUGGGUAGCAUUCCUCCACGAGGUCGCUUCACCUGUUCUAAGUAGUGGUCAGAGAUGUCUCAUAUUGCCACCGCCAUUUGCGGCUGAAACGAAGGAGGACACUUUGGAUAGUGUAGUAACUAAAAGACGGAGUAGUCACAUUUGGAAAGCUUUUGAGCAUCAGUGAGCAAAUACGAUCAUGAUUAUCCUGGGGUUAAAUAACAGCGAGAAACAUAACAACAGCUACAACAACAACAGCAGCAACAACAACAACAACAACAACAACAACAACAGCAGCAGCAGCAAUGCCAACCAAUCAGAAUUAAGUACCAUUUCCAUUUAUUUUAUAAAGAAUGUUACAUUGUUCAAGACGACACACAGGUGGCGCUACCAUAGCCAAUUGUACGCAGGGUAAAUUCGUAGCAAUUCUGUUUCUUGAAGAAUUUCCGUUCAUUGACAGCAUUUGCGAACGAAGAAUUCUUAAAACGAGAUUCAUGGAACAAUAGCACACACACACACACACGCACACACACAUGCACACACACACAUGCACACACGCACACAUGCACACACACACGCGCGCACAGACAUACAGACACUCACGGUUACAUAACCAAAUAUAAACUUUGUGUAUAUGGUAAUAUAUGAAUGUGUAUGUGUGUGUGUAUGCACAGGUGUAUAUAUGCAUGUGGGUGUAGGGGUAAGGAUGUGUGUGUGUGUGUGUGUGUUGUGUGUACAGAUAAGCGCAUGUGCAAGAAUCUAUUCUUUCAAAAUUUCUAUAUCGUUAUGCUUUUCCCAAUAUUGGCUGUGUAAGUACCUAUAUGCGAACACCUGUGUAUGUAUAUAUAUAUAUAUAUAUAUAUAUAUAUAUACAUAUAUAUAUAUAUAUAUACACACACACACACACAUAUAUAUAUAUAUAUAUAUAAUAAAAUACAAAAUGGGAUAUAUAUAUAUACACGUCUACACACAAUGUGUGUACAUGUGUGCAGGUGUGAAUAUAUAUAUAAGUAUGUAUUUAUAUAUAUAUAUAUAUGUAUGUAUAAAUAUGUAUACAUAUAUAUAUAUGUGUAUAUAUAUAUAUAUACACACACACAUGUAUACCAUAUAUAUGCAUGCGUGGAUAUGACCAUGUGUGUAUAUGUGUGUGUGUGAGUGUGUGCGUGCAGAACUUAUAUAUGUAUAUGCGUGUGUAUGGGUGUAUGCACACAUGUGUACACCUACAGGAACACCUUUGCAUACGCACACGCACACACACACACGUACGUAUACACAUAAGUACAUAUACAUACCUAUGUAUAAAUGGACGUGUGAAGCCGCGUGCACAUGCAUGCAUGCAUGCAACUACGCAUACACAAGCGUACACACGUAUGAUGUGAGCAAAUAUCUAAGCGCCUCCAUUUAUGCGUGCGCGCGCGUUUGAGUGCCACUGUGCGCGUGCGUGGAAUAUAAGUUAACCGUCAUUCUGUAUGAAGCAAUGAAUCUUGGAAUACAUUGAUGUACGUCAAGAUCUAUGCUUUUAGUACAUAGCAAUAUCUCAUAAUCUGUAUUUAUUUGUUUGUUUCACUAUUUAUUUGUCGAUCUUGCUAUUUAUGUCAAUCCAUAACAUUUAUACAUAUAUACAUAUAGAUAAACACACACACACACAUAUUUGUACAUGUGUGUGUAUAUAAAUAUAUGUACGCAUACUAUUUAUACAUAUAAUAUAAAAUAUGUAAGUAUAUAUGUAUUUUUUAUAUCUAUACAUAUACCUGUAUAUAUGUAAGUAUAUAUUUUUAUGUGUAUAUAUAUGUAUAUAUAUAUAUAUUAUAUAAUAUAUAUCAUAUGUAAACAGUAUAAUAUAUAUAUUUAUAUAUAUAUAUCAUACAAUAUAUAUAUGUAAACAGUAUAAUAUAUAUACAUAAAUUUAUACAAAUAUAUACGAUUAUAUAUGUAUAUAUAUAUAUAUAUAUAUAUAUAUAUAUAUAUAUAUAUAUAUAUAUAUAUGCCUAUAUAUAUACAUACACAUAUGUUUACACACAUAUAUAAAUAUAUAGACAUAUAUAUACAUACACACACGCACACGUACACUCACACAUAUGAUCUACUCUGCCAUGUUUUACUGCCAUAUCUGUUAUUUUUCUGUUUUCUAAUAUCGAAAUAUUCUUCUCUCGUAGAAUCUAGUGCCAAUGCCAGUUAAAGCUGAUAUCGAAACUUCUUGGAAGAUGUGAAUGUCGGCGUUAUAAGUCGAUAUCUGGAGGCCCCUUAGGACAUUUGUUCUUGCAAAAUCUGGAAACUAUCAAACAUGUUAUUGGAACUCGCAGAUUUGACAAGACACGCUCACAGAGAUGCACACAUACACCUCUGUAACUGUACGUAUGUGUUUGUAUGUCUACACUCAUACUAUUACAUGCACGAACUCACACAUACACACACACACUCACGAACGUAUAUACAUACACAUACAAGUCUAAGAGUGUGUGAGUGCGUGUGCGUGUGUAUGUGUGUGUGUGUUAGAAGGAGAAAGAAGGAGAAUAUAAUGACAAACGAACAGAUAGACAGAUGGACAGACAGGCAGGCA